UGAUUUGAAUGUGAUCGACCA
rnacentral:piRNA from 1 species